rnacentral:rRNA from 1 species
CCUACGGGAGGCAGCAGUGGGGAAUAUUGGGCAAUGGGCGCAAGCCUGACCCAGCAACGUCGCGUGAAGGAAGAAGGCUUUCGGGUUGUAAACUUCUGUUGUCAGGGACGAAGCAAGUGACGGUACCUGACGAAUAAGCCACGGCUAACUACGUGCCAGCAGCCGCGGUAAUACGUAGGUGGCAAGCGUUAUCCGGAUUUAAUGGGGGUAAAGGGCGUGUAGGCGGGACUGCAAGUCAGAUGUGAAAACCACGGGCUCAACCUGUGGCCUGCAUUUGAAACUGUAGUUCUUGAGUACUGGAGAGGAAGACGGAAUUCCUUGUGUAGCGGUGAAAUGCGUAGAUAUUAGGAGGAACACCAGUGGCGAAGGCGGUCUGCUGGACAGCAACUGACGCUGAUGCGCGAAAGCGUGGGGAGCAAACAGGAUUAGAUACCCCAGUAGUC